AGGGUAAUAAAAUAUUUAAUUUGCAAUUAAAUAAAAUUGUAUUUAUCAAUUUACCU
rnacentral:tRNA from 1 species